UGACACAGUUCUGUGUAAAAUAUUACACAGAUUUUUGAACAGCGUCUCUUCUAAAUCUGUGUAAAAUAGGGUUGGCGUCACUGUCGUUCAUUUCCCGCACUUCUGCUAAGCUGAAAAGGUUGAAAAUUUUUCGGUCGUUUUUUCAUAGAUUUUUUUUGCGAUUAUUAACUGAGUUUUUCUAUAAAUCUUAAUUUCAAACAUGGUUUUAUCAUGACUGUAGAUUUCUUAGUAGAAAACAUAGUUUUACAACAAAUUUCACCAGAUUUAGUAUAAACUAAUUCCAUAACCUAACUUUUUUGUUCGUUUAGCAUAUCUUCGCGAGUACUGUAAAAGAGUGAACCAAACUUCCAACUCCUCCGGCAAGAACACCAGUUUUGAGAUUUCGAGAUUUCCUGGCCAUCGUCGCUACAGAUUCGGACUAGAAAGCCCUCCAGCAAGGAAGCGCCAGCCGAAACAGUAACCUGAUUCGUGAUCUUCCGCCGAUUCCGAAGAUUCGCUGCUCCGGUUUCCGCGACCAAGAAAGAAUUCGCUGCUCCGGUUCCCGCGGCCAAGGAAGGAUUCGCUGCCUCGGUUCCCGCGACCAAGGAAGGCCAGCGUUUGCGAUCGCUCGUGCACUACCCAACUUCUUCGAACGUCUCGGCCAGAUUCGGACCAGAAAGUCCUCCGGCAAGGAAGCGCCAGCCGAAACAACAACCUGAUUCGUGAUCUUCCGGCGAUUCACUGCCCCGGUUCCCGCGACCAAGAAAGGAUUCGCUGCUCCGGUUCCCACGGCCAAGGAAGGAUUCGCUGCCUCAAGAUUGAAUAAAUAAGUUUCAUUGUUUUUGUUUA